ACAGGCGGGACUCUAACGAAGUAGAUCUGAGGCGACACGUAUCAAGUACACACGAGUUUGGAAUAAGAAUGGAUGUAGCUUUAAAAAGUUCCGAAACAAGCCUUCAUUUUGAAUCAUUCGACGAAACACGUGGUGGUGAAAAACUCCCAACAACAGUCCAUGUGAAUGUGACGUCACACCUGUUCCAAGAAGACGGGGAGAGCGGUCAAUUUGACAAAAGAAAGCAAACUUUAGUAACGCAACUUUUCCCGGAAUUUUUCAUUCCCCACAGUACAUCGGAUGGAUCCCCUGAAAGUUGGAAGGUCGUGAUGUGCGGCAAUCGGAGACUGGAUUACAGACUUAGCGACCCACUUAUCCAGUCCUGGCUCAACAUGUAUGGCUGUAUUCAUUAGAGAAGGUUCGCGAUACAACUGUGACGCGAAAAAAUGAUAACAAACACUUUUUCAGCAGAUAAAUGUGAACUUAUAUAUCAAGAACACAAGCACUAAUAUACGGCAGGAGUGCAUAGCUUUAUAUGAUAAUAUCUGAAUAUUGUUGGACUUACAGGAGAACGUUUUUGAGGAGAUCUCCAAAGGAAAACAUAGCUUGCGAUGAAGCAAACUGUUUAACGACUAAAACCUUCACUUUCCAAUUUCCACUUUGAAACUUUCCACUUUCGGUUUUGUAGCAACGAAUUUCUCACUAAUAAGCUCAAAUGAAGCUUAAAAAUAAAUAGGCAGAUAGAAUAGAUAUAGUGGAAGCUAUUAUCAAAUGAUAUUGUAAAUACAAGGAUUUGUGUGGCAGAGAAUCGAUUAUGUUAUUUAUUAGAAACAGAUGAAUGAAUUAGCCUUCCUUACUUUA